GACGUAGGGCGCGAGCGUUGUCCGGAUUUAUUGGGCGUAAAGAGCUCGUAGGCGGCUUGUUACGUCGACUGUGAAACCCGCGGCUCAACUGCGGGCCUGCAGUCGAUACGGGCAGGCGUAGAGUUCGGUAGGGGAGACUGGAAUUCCUGGUGUAGCGGUGAAAUGCGGCAGAUAGUCAGGAGGAACACCGGUGGGCGAAGGCGGGUCUCUGGGCAGUAAACUGAC
rnacentral:rRNA from 1 species